rnacentral:rRNA from 1 species
GACGAACCGUCCUAACGUUGUUCGGAAUCACUGGGCUUAAAGGGCGCGUAGGCAGGUUCGCAAGUCCGGGGUGAAAUCUUUCGGCUUAACCGGAAAAGGGCCUUGGAUACUGCGAGUCUCGAGGGAGGUAGGGGCCUGUGGAACUUUGGGUGGAGCGGUGAAAUGCGUUGAUAUCCAAAGGAACGCCGGUGGCGAAAGCGACGGGCUGGACCUCUUCUGACGCUGAGGCGCGAAAGCUAGGGGAGCAAACGGGAUUAGAUACCCCGGUAGUCCUAGCCCUAAACGAUGGGUACUAGAUUGCGGACUUAACAUGGGUUCGCAGUCGAAGCAAAAGUGGUAAGUACCCCGCCUGGGGAGUAUGGUCGCAAGGCUGAA